rnacentral:rRNA from 1 species
UACGAAGGGGGCUAGCGUUGUUCGGAAUUACUGGGCGUAAAGCGCACGUAGGCGGACUAUUAAGUCAGGGGUGAAAUCCCGGGGCUCAACCCCGGAACUGCCUUUGAUACUGGUAGUCUCGAGUCCGGAAGAGGUGAGUGGAAUUCCGAGUGUAGAGGUGAAAUUCGUAGAUAUUCGGAAGAACACCAGUGGCGAAGGCGGCUCACUGGACACAUAUUGACGCUGAGGUGCGAAAGCGUGGGGAGCAAACAGG